rnacentral:rRNA from 1 species
GACGAACGCUGGCGGCGUGCUUAACACAUGCAAGUCGAACGGAAAGACCCUGCGUUUGUGGGGUGCUCGAUUGGCGAACGGGUGAGUAACACGUGAGUAACCUGCCCUUGACUGUGGGAUAACUUCAGGAAACUCGGGCUAAUACCCGAUAUGAGCUCCUGCUGCGUGUGGUUGGUUGGUAAGAUUCGGCGGUUGGGGAUGGACUCGCUGCUUAUCAGCUUGUUGGGGGGGUAGUGGCUUACCAAGGCUUUGACGGGUAGCCGGCCUGGGAGGGUUAACGGCCACCUGGGGACUGAGAUAGGCAGCAGACUCGUACGGGAGGCAGUAGUGGGGAAUAUUGCACAACGGGCGGAAGUCUGAUGCAGCAAUGUUCGGUGCGGGAUGACGGCCUUCGGGUUGUAAACCGCUGUCGACUGUAACGAAGAGUGAGUGACGGUACCGGGUAAAGAAGCACCGGCUAACUACGUG